UACAGAGGGGCAAGCGUUGUUCGGAAUUACUGGGCGUAAAGGGCGCGUAGGCGGCCCGCUAAGUCGAACGUGAAAUCCCCGAGCUCAACUCGGGAACUGCGUCCGAUACUGGCGGGCUUGAAUCCGGGAGAGGGAUGCGGAAUUCCAGGUGUAGCGGUGAAAUGACGUAGAUAUCUGGAGGAACACCGGUGGCGAAGGCGGCAUCCUGGACCGGCAUUGACGCUGAGGCGCGAAAGCUAGGGAGCAAGCGGG
rnacentral:rRNA from 1 species